rfam:Kouleothrix aurantiaca strain COM-B contig_30, whole genome shotgun sequence.
GUCAGUCACCGCCACGUCAACGAGGCGGCUUGUAGCGGGUCUACAAGCCCGGACUGACCAGGACCCAGGGCGGGCAACCGUCCUCCGCCCGGAAGGUCACGAUACGUCGGGCUGCGACAGCGCCAGGCCCGACCGCUAUCGCUCGUGAGAACGCCGUCCUGGGGUAAGGGACGCAUCUGGCGAGCACGACAAGCCUUCCGCGCAUGGUCGAGGCGCACAUCAC